AUACGUAGUGACAAGCGUUAUCCGGAUUUACUGGGCGUAAAGGGCGUGUAGGCGGUCUUGCAAGUCAGAAGUGAAAUUCCUGAGCUCAACUCGGGCGCUGCUUCUGAAACUGCAGGACUUGAGUGCUGGAGGGGAUAGCGGAAUUCCUAGUGGAGCGGUAAAAUGCGCAGAUGUUAGGAAGAACACCGGUGGCGAAGGCGGCAAUCUGGACAGUAACUGACGCUGAGGCUCGAAAGCGUGGGGAGCAAACAGGAUUAGAUACCCUGGUAGUCCACGCUGUAAACGAUGAAUACUAGGUGUAGGGGGUAUCGACUCCCUCUGUGCCUCAGUUAACACAAUAAGUAUUCCGCCUGGGGAGUACGGCCGCAAGGUUGAAACUCAAAUGAAUUGACGGGG
rnacentral:rRNA from 1 species